GAUUAGUGCCACCAUUAAAAUUUUAGUAAGUGCAGGGGUGAGUCAAUCAUAUUUUGACUUUUUUUUUUUUAACCAGUCAGCCUCCAGAAAAAUGCAGAUGACUCCUGAAGAACUCUGGACUAUCACAGGCACAAUCAUGCAGUAAGCGAUCAUCACAGCUAUGGUGCCAGAUAUUUCACAUAUUAUUCAGCAAUUUAUUGAGGAGUACUCUCUUCUCCAUUACAAUCAAUCAAGAGGUGAUCUUCCUGUAUAGAGGGCUCCAAGCUGGGGAGUGGAGCACUGGAAACUGAGGGGGACUCUAAGGACCCCUAUGAAUGAGAUCAUUUCACAAGACAGCCAUUCAUUCUAUUGUGUGGCCUUCUGAACUUUAUUCAAGAGGAAACCUGCUAGAAGGGAAAUUAGCUGACAGUCUCCAGGUGCUUUCAGGAUCUGCCUCAGCAUUUGUGCCAUGGCACACAACAGAAUUUCUGUACCCCAUCCAAUGCCUGAGCAUCAUGAUGAUAUAAGAAUUCAACAUUUCAGACCACAUGGAACUGUUUGAAAAACAUCUUGGCAUUGAAAUUUCCUGUUGGACUAGCCAGGAUUUUCUCUAGGCUAUCCCACUGUCUAUGGGUCUUCCUAGUCAGCCUUCUUUCUUUCAUCCCAAUGAAUCUCAAUAAAUCUGUUGUACUUAAUACA
rnacentral:lncRNA from 1 species